AACUUUCGACAAUGGAUCUCUUGGCUCUCGCACCGAUGAAGAACGCAGCGAAAUGCGAUAAGUAAUGUGAAUUGCAGAAUUCAGUGAAUCAUCGAAUCUUUGAACGCACCUUGCGCCCUUUGGCCAUUCCGAAGGGCAUGCCUGUUUGAGUAUCAUGAACACCUCAACUCUUCAUGGUUUUUCUGUGAUGAGCUUGGACUUUGGGGGUUUUGCUGGCCUAUGGUCGGCUCCUCUAAAAUGAAUCAGCUUGCCAGUGUUUGGUGGGCAUCACAGGUGUGAUAACUAUCUACGCUUGUGGUUUUCCACCAGGUAACCUUCAGCAAUGGAGGUUCACUGGAGCUCACAGAUGUCUCUCCUCGGAGAGGAUGACCCUUUGAAUGUUUGAUCUCAAAUCAGGUAGGACUACCCGCUGAACUUAAGCAUAUCAAUAAGCGGAGGCU
rnacentral:misc_RNA from 1 species